GACGAACGCUGGCGGCGUGCUUAACACAUGCAAGUCGAGCGGAAAGGCCCUUUCGGGGAUACUCGAGCGGCGAACGGGUGAGUAACACGUGAGUAAUCUGCCCCUGGCUUUGGGAUAGCCACCGGAAACGGUGAUUAAUACCGGAUACGACCACUUCUCGCAUGGGAUGGUGGUGGAAAGUUUUUCGGCCAGGGAUGUGCUCGCGGCCUAUCAGCUUGAUGGUGAGGUAAUGGCUCACCAUGGCUUCGACGGGUAGCCGGCCUGAGAGGGUGACCGGUCACACUGGGACUGAGACACGGCACAGACUCCUACGGGAGGCAGCAGUGGGGAAUAUUGGACAAUGGGCGGAAGCCUGAUCCAGCAACGCCGCGUGAGGGAUGACGGCCUUCGGGUUGUAAACCUCUUUCAGCAGGGACGAAGCGCAAGUGACGGUACCUGCAGAAGAAGCAUCGGCCAACUACGUGCCAGCAGCCGCAGUAA
rnacentral:rRNA from 1 species